UACGUAGGGGGCAAGCGUUGUCCGGAUUUAUUGGGCGUAAAGAGCGUGUAGGCGGCUUUGCAAGUCCGUCGUGAAAACUCGAGGCUCAACCUCGAGACGCCGGUGGAAACUGCAAAGCUAGAGUCCGGAAGAGGAGAGUGGAAUUCCUGGUGUAGCGGUGAAAUGCGCAGAUAUCAGGAAGAACACCAAUGGCGAAAGCAGCUCUCUGGGACGGUACUGACGCUGAGACGCGAAAGCGUGGGGAGCGAACAGG
rnacentral:rRNA from 1 species